UGUUCUCCUACGUGUCGCCUUUGUUUUCCUAUCUUCUAAAAGGGCUGUGCCAAACCUCCUUACAAAGACACUAGCCUAAGAGCCUGGACAGAAGCAAGAGUUCUGUCCGGUAGAGAAAGUGAACCCUGGAGCCACAAAGAGGACUCAAAAACAGAGAGAGAUCACCGGUGAGUUUGGACGUUUACAGGUAACACACAGAUUGUGCGGGGUGAGGGGCCACCAUAUCCAAUCGAGAUGAAUGAAUGAUGAGUGUUUUCUUGAAAUCGACAAGAAAAGAGAAGGACCCCACGCACACAUUACUUCGAUCCAUUCUUUCAGAAAGAUUCAUCCAAAUCUGGAAUCACUUUUCUGCUCUACGAUGGUCUUCAUCCAUCUUACCAUAGCUUUGCCUGUUUCCCCAAAUUCUACCUUAAAUCUGACUUUAUGAAACACAGCUUCAUGCUCUCUUACUUCCCCCAAAGAAGUUUCUCCUCCUGACAUCAUAUGUGAAGUGCUCGAAUAUCAGACACAUUAUAUAUUGAAGAUUUGUAUUUCACAAAGGUUGAUCUUAAGGCACCAUGAUUUUAGAAAUUAGAUGAAAAUAUUAUGUUGAUUCAUCCAGUGACUGAUAGUGUGUGCAGAAUUACUGGGUCGUUAUGCUAGGAACUUUACCUAAUACAGCAUUUUUUUACUUUGUUUAUUAUUUAUUUAUUUACUUAUUUGUUUAUUUAUUUAUUGGCACCACGUUUCCUGUCUACUCUGAGGUUGACUUCACUGUCUCUGAACCAAGGUCUGUUUUGGAAGUUGAAAGAAGAAAAAUACGCUAAGAAACCCAUUCCAAACUCUCAACUCUCCUUCAUGACUCAAGGUUGGACCAUAUGAGUAAGCCAAAUAUGUGUUUUCCCAUCCUUAUGAGGGAAGAGCAGUCUCUACAGCUAAUAACAUGUUACACACCACAUGUUCCCUGGGCAUACGCUGAAAAUGUUUGGAAGAGUCAAAGAGCUAGAUUCUCCUGUUAAGGACUUAGACUGUCACAUUGGUGUUCCCUCAUGAUCACCAGUGGUCUGCUUGUGGAAAUUGUUCAAACCUCUAGGAGAUGUGGCGCCAUCUGAAAUUUAAUAAGCACCUCUACAUGGUCCUCUUGGAACCCUGAUGCUGUGUGCUAAGCAAGUCUAAACUAACCCACUGUGAGUAGGAGAACCAAGGCACUGCAGCCCAGCAGAGGGCUGAAUGUAAAGACGAGAGAGGUCUCAGAUGUCACUACAUGAUGCAGAGUAAGUUGUCCAGUGAACUCAUGGAAACGGGAUGACAAAUCACUGCUUCAGAACAAGUUUUAGGCUCAUCUGCUAUGCAGUAAUUACUGGUGACAAUUCUCUCCCAUUUCAAGACGUGAAGAUGAUGGGGUCAGAUCGUGCGAGGGAAGGACAGGAAAUGGUGACCAAGCUCAUACUAUCCUUGCGCUAGUGAGCUAACAGCCAUGCUAGGGAGGAGACCUAAGUCAUCACUUUAGAAUUAAGAACUGUGGGACGUUCUGGCUUGCUAACCUAACGGGACAUCUCUAUCAUCACAAGGCACUGGAACUAUCCAGAAACAAAGGCUGACAAGAUCAUAAUACCCAGAGGUGUGGGAGGACUGGCACAAACCAGUGCUCGGGACAUUUCAGGACCACUGUACUCAUGAACUCUCGGUAUAGAGAGGUGUGCACCAGAUCUCACCCCUGAAUGAGGAAUAGACAGCUAGUGACUGCUGGGAAAGUAGGAGCCAUUUUCUUUAACCAUGAGGCUCUGGUGUUGAGCAUGCCUCAAUGGAUGGCCCCACACCCAUGAAUUGGACUCCUUGGAUUAUUAAAAAAAAAUUAAUGUGUGAUGUUUUGUAUUUAUUUGAACAUUUUAACAAUAAAAUUUAUUUGUAGCAAGGA